UACGUAGGUGACAAGCGUUGUCCGGAUUUACUGGGCGUAAAGAGCGCGCAGGCGGUCGUUCAAGUCGAGUGUGAAAGCCCCCGGCUCAACUGGGGAGGGUCAUUCGAUACUGAUCGACUCGAAGGCAGGAGAGGGAAGUGGAAUUCCCGGUGUAGUGGUGAAAUGCGUAGAUAUCGGGAGGAACACCAGUGGCGAAGGCGACUUCCUGGCCUGUUCUUGACGCUGAGGCGGCGAAAGCUAGGGAGCAAACGGG
rnacentral:rRNA from 1 species